AUGUCGCCAGAAGUGUCUGGUGGCUGGACUUUGAUCCUGCACGGGAGACGACGCCUGUCUGGUGCAUGGUUUGGGGAUGGGCUCCGGGCAGCCGUGAAGGUGCUGGAGCGCGGGGGGGACCUCCAGCCCCCUGGGGGGUCCCUGCGCCUCCUCUGCCUAGGGGCCAGGUUCAGUUUUGGCAGUUAUGAGAUGAACUGGGUCCGCCAGAGACCAGGGCAGAGGCUGGAAUGGGUCGCGGGGAUCACCAACAAUGCUGGUGGGACCGAGUACGCGCCAUCGGUCAAGGGCCGGUUCACGAUCUCCAGGGACAACAGGCAGAGCUCGGUGAUGCUGACCAUGAACAACCUCAAGGACGAGGAUUCCGCCACCUAUUUCUGUGCCAAAUCUUACGGCACUGGUAGCCCUGCUGCUGCUGCUGCCUAUACUGACCAUGCCGGCUAG